CAACGUGCGCACCUGUUUAAAAAGAUACAUUUAUUAUUAAUAAAACAUUUUUUAGUACACGUGUCCACGUCAGUAGUUUAAUAAUAUUAUAUUUUCAUGCUUUUAGUGAAGAAUUGUUUUACUAUCAGUCAUAUUUUAAAACGGGCAGUUUCAAAAUAACCAAAGAAAACAACGAUUCUAAACCAGAACGUGCCUGAAGGAAUCAAUUGUAGUUCUCUUUUAUAGCGGUUUAAAAUGUAUCUGAAAGUAUAUACGGGCGUUUGCAAUAAUUUAAUCACAGACGUAGAAAUAUAACCAAGAUUCACGACGACCAUUGUAUUGAUAGAACAGUUGUUUAAAUAAAAGAGCAGCGUCAGUUUUGGAAAUGUCACAUUUUAGUUAAGUAAAAUGGAAAAUUACAAGCGGUGUGUAUUUCAGUAUGCUAACGUGACGUUUUUCAGCAGGUUUCAUUUGAUUUUAUGAAGCAGAAUUAGUUAACACUGAAAUCAACCCCUCGACAGCAGUUCUACUAAAUGUCCACACGAGGGCAGCAUUGGAUAGGAAAUGAAAGCUAAAGCCUCGUCUGUCUCCCUGAAGUUCGCUACCAAUUGUAAAGAGCAGAGGACAGUUCAGCCGGAGGCGUGUGUCUGUGUGAAACGACUUUAUUUCAUGUGAUAAGUUUGUGGAAGAAGGACGCCAUGUUAGGAGGCGUUUGCUAUUGUUUUACACAGACUACGAGGGACAGCGCUCAUUAAACCAGGUCUGUGAGGAUGAGAAGGUCUCCACAGUCUGGAGUCUGGUCUCUGACAGGCUCAACAUACCUGUCAAUCAACAGGGACUCCUCUACAAAGGCAAGGCGCUGGCAGAUGAGCACAGACUGUCACACGACUCCAUCGCUCCCGAUUCUGAACUCGUUGUGACGCCCCCAACAGAGAAAGUGUCACCCGAGCAAGAACAGCACUCCCUGUGUCACCCCUCCUCUCAGACCUCACCCCUCACCCUCGCCUCACCCCGGGUCAGUGUGGCACAGCCUGCCUGCUCUUCUGAACAAACACUUCAGCCCUGCCGAUGCAGUGAGAGUCUGGAGCAGCAACACAAGGAUUACGAGCGGAGGCUGCGCUUGUUGAGCCUGGAUGAAAUGGAGCGGCUGGCGACUCGCAUGCUUCACCCUGAGGCUGUGGAGUGCAUGGAGCUGUCCUUCCUAGACUGAGGAAUACUGCUGCUGCCCUCUCCACCCCUCCCCUCUCCUCUGUCCUCCCCCUCUCCUCUCCUCUCCUUACUUUGUUUAAAAGAAUAGAAGCACACCCAGUGAGCAAGGCAUUGAGCAACCCCACAUCCCGCUUCACAAUACCGCUAGAUAUUGACUGACUGUUCGCAUUGUGUGUGUUUGGUAAGACAAACCACAUUUUCUACUUUCUGCUAUUUUAAAAGGAGCCCAGUUUGGUGCAGGAGGCUUGUGGGUAACAGAGUGUGUUUUUGCUGGGGACUGCAGCCCUUCCAUUACCAUUGCUCGUAGAGGGGAGAUUGUUUUACUUUCAAGCCUUUUUCUUUAAUAAAUCCGGACGUUUGGAAAUACA